UAGCUCAUCUGAUUUUUUGAAAAAAAAUGAUGAGUUAUUGUCAUCACUUGAGCGGUUGUCGGCGUCGGCGUCGGUGUCGGCGUCGGCGUCUGCGUCGGCGUUGCCUGGUUAAGUUUUAUGUUUAGGUCAGCUUUUCUCCUAAACUAUCAAAGCUAUUGCUUUGAAACUUGGAAUACUUGUUCACCAUCAUAUGCUGACCCUGUAUAGCAAGAAACAUAACUCCAUCUUGCUUUUUGCAAGAUUUAUGGCCCCUUUUGUACUUAGAAAAUAUCAGAUUUCUUGGUUAAGUUUUAUGUUUAGGUCAACUUUUCUCCUAAACUAUCAAAGCUAUUGCUUUGAAACUUGGAAUACUUGUUCACCAUCAUAAGCAGACCCUGUACAUCAAGAAACUUAACUCCAUCUUGCUUUUUGCAAGAAUUAUUGCCCCUUUUGGACUUAGAAAAUCAGUUUUCUUGGUUAAGUUUUAUGUUUAGGUCAGCUUUUAUCCUAAACUAUCAAAGCUAUUCCUUUAAAACUUGCAACACUUGUUCACCAUCAUAAGCUGACCCUGUACAGCAAGAAACAUAACUCCAUCCUGCUUUUUGCAAGAUUUAUGGCCCCUUUUGGACUUAGAAAAUAUCAGAUUUCUUGGUUAAGUUUUAUGUUUAGGUCAACUUUUUCUCUUAAACUAUCGAAGCUAUUGCUUUAAAACUUGCAACUCUUGUUCACCAUCAUAAGCUGACCCUGUACAGCAAGCAACAUAACUCCAUCCUGCUUUUUGCAAUAAUUAUUGCCCUUUUUGGACUUAGAAAAAUCAUUUUCUUGGUUGAAUAUUAUGUUUAAGUCAACUUUUUCUCUUAAACUAUCAAAGCUAUUGCUUUAAAACUUGCAACUCUUGUUCACCAUCAUAAGCUGACCCUGUACAGCAAGCAACAUAACUCCAUCCUGCUUUUUGCAAUAAUUAUUGCCCCUUUUGGACUUAGAAAAAUCAUUUUCUUGGUUGAAUAUUAUGUUUAAGUCAACUUUUCUCAUAAACUAUCAAAGCUAUUGCUUUAAAACUUGCAACAGUUUUUCACCAUCAUAAGUGGACACUGUACAUCAAGAAACAUAACUCUAUCCUGCUUUUUGCAAGAGUGAUGGCCCUUUUUAGACUUAGAAAAUCAUGGGUAGGACAAUAUUUCUAUUAUAAAAAAAAAAUC